rnacentral:lncRNA from 1 species
AGUUAGCCUGGUGGACACAACGGAACAACAAAGAAACCUACUCUUGAAUGAGGUGAAAGAACUUCCUUUAGCUGCUCCUGUAGCAUAUAUUUGCUGAAGAUGACUCCUUUUUAGGUUAGUGUUUUGAUUUGUUUUUUAUGGUGGGGGGCAGGGUGGGAUGAGGCGUUGGUUUAGCUUUAUUCCUGAAGGUUGUUUUCAGUAAACACAGGAUUUUUUUUUUUCUGACAGUUUCCUUCUGUAAACACCCUGAGAGAUUUUUUACUUCCUGGACUGUGUGGUUGCUGAUGUGAAAUCACCAUCAUUUGAAUUUGUUUGCCUCUCUACAUGGAUGAGGUAAACAUCUCCUGCUGCUUUCAGGAUUUCUCUCCUUGUCUUUGGUUUUGAGUUUAGCUAUGACAUGUUUUCUCUACCUUUGUCUUGUUCAGCGUGUAUAUAUAGUUUGUAUCCUGUCAAAUGUGGGCUAUUCUCAGAUGUUUUUCGACUAUGUCCCCACACCUACUCUCUUUUCAGAAUUCAGAUGACACAAGGGCUAGAAUUUUAGCACUUGUCCUGUGGCUCACUCCAUUUUCUAAGCCUGUGUUCUUUCUCUCUGCUGUUGAGAUGAGAAAUUUAAUCGUCUGUCUUCCAGGUUGUUGCUGCUUUCCUCUCUUCUCUGCUUUGGCUGCUGGAGACAGCAACCCCACUUCCUACUUUAGCUUUUGUAUUUUUUAUUUUUUUUUUACAGUUCUAAAGUAGGGUUUGGGUUCUACUUCAAAGUCUCUGUUUCUCUAAUUAGAUUUUGAAAAUCUGUUGAUUUCUCCCACUGGCCUUGAGUAUGUGUGCAGUCACUGGCUGAAGCAUGUUGUGGUCUUACCUUUAACAUCUCUGUCAGAUAAACAGAGAUGUUACAAUUAUCAGAUGGAUAGACAUUCCAUUCAGGUUCAGAUCUUAUUGGUCCUGGGCACAGCGAGUGAUGCUUGAUGAGACCUAAGCAUUUUGGAUAAUGUACUGUCUGGCUUAGGAUCUCAUGGAAGCACAGCCUUGGCUGGGAUGCCCUGGCACCAAUCCAGACAGAAAGAACAGGGUGCUAAACUUCUAUUUCCAGUGGAAGUUUAUGUUUUAUGCAUAGUCUAUUUGCACCAAAGUGCACAGGGACAAUGCUUAUCAUUGCCAGGCUUGGUGGCAGUCUUACUUCCUAUAAGGCCUCCAGCGGUACUUUGACUCUCCCCAGGUGUGUCUUGUUCUUUCCAUAUAAGAGAUUCCUCAAGUAGUCUCCACUGAUACCAUGUUGGGUACUUAUUACCAUCCAGAAGGCAUGAAGUCUCUGUCUCCCUACUGAAUGAUCUCUGACACUUCUUUAGUAAACACUGGGUGAAGCCCUCAUUAUAGCUUGGCCAC